GCACCUCCUUCUUCUUCUGCCCCACUGCAUUAAGAACCACCUGAGCCACCUCUGCAGCUGUUCUGCCUUCAAUGGUGUUCUUGUCCAUAACUGUAAAGAGCAAAGGGAAAUCGGUAUGCAGGGCAGCAGGAAACAUGAUGCCCCUCCUGCCCCCUCACACCCACUUGCAGCUCUUCAGUUCUGACUGGCUGAGAUGGGCAUCCAGUCUAUUUUCACCAUUCCGCUAGUGAGAUUGCUGCUCCUCAAGGACAAAUCAAAAAGCCCUCUGCACCCCAGCUUCCCGCCACCUUGCAGUGCGCUUGGAGACCCACCUUUCCCCAGGCCAGAUGUAGCUCCUGUGAUCACCACUACUGCAUCCUGGAGGUAGGCUCGCAUCCUCAUUCGCUGCAGCAGCCUGAAGAGGGCGAAGAGCCCCACGCUGCCGAGAAGCAGUGGGACAAUGGCUGUGAAGGUGAGAUCCAUGAGCUUCCCUCUGGGAAUGUUCUUCCUAGAGCUACAAAAUGAAAGCAAAUGAGCAUUUCACAGCCAGAAAAGCUAGGAAGAGAUUGAAACCUGUUGGUCACCCUUUUUCCCUUAAUCUGUUGACCAGAUUAAGACGCUAACAUACACUUAACCCCCUCUCUGCCCCCCACCCUGGCCCCUCUCCAGCACACAGGACCCAGUUUUCAUGUGGACACAUUCAGGGAAAUGUCAAAAUCCUGCACAAAAUUGGUAAUAUCAUGUAAAUGCCCAUUUUAGACACAAAUGCCAAUUUGAACAUCACGACAGGACAUUUGGUUUUGGACAUCUUAAAGUACCAUGUUACAAAGUUAGGCUCAGAGAUUCCAUUUCCAACGGCCUCCUUUUCUCUCAUUUUACAUUUUUGUUCACUCUCUGCAUUUGUUUUCUUGUGCAUGACACAGUUGGACCACAUGCUCCUUGGGCUGGGAAGUGUCUGCCCAUCUAUGGUACUAUAAAAACAUCUUAGAUUUUUCUAUAGCAUUCAUCACCACAGUAUCGAAAUGCGGAUCAUAACAGACAAGUACCUAUACAUUAUUCCAGGUGGAUAUAAGCCAAUCCACUUGUGGGGUGGGCGGGUUCCUGAGCCCGGAAGUCUAUGCAGCAGCCCUGCAGUUUGAGACCCUUGAGCCUGAGUCGACUGGCAUGGGCCAGCCGCGGGUUUUUCUUUAAUGUGUAGACGUACCCACAGAGAACAAGAGGAGGUCAGGAUCUAGAGUUUGAGUGCAAAACUGGGAGGCAAGAGCCCUGGCACUGACCUUUGUGUUUGGAACAAGUUAUGGCAGGGUAGAUAUUCAACUCCCAUUUAGGCAUCUAAGCUGUUUUCACUGGGAGCUGGCCACUUAAUUGAGGUGCCUAUAAGGGAGCUGAGCUAUUCUGAAAAUCUGGCCCUUAACCUCUUUGCCUCUGUUUCCCCAUAUGUACAGUGGGGAUAGAAUACCUUUUAACCGGUUUUACAAUGACUGUGAUAACCACCCUAGUCUACAAGAUAUGGACAAUUCCCAUGUGUUAUCUAAAGCAAUUCUGCAGUGUCCAAGUUCACACUGAUUAGAAUUACCUACUGCACCAGGCUCUUGUGGGGAUCAGUCAUCUGGUUUACUGACCAAAAAAAAUCAGCUGCUUUUUAAUUCCAUUGAGCUAUCCCCUUGUUUUUGCAUUCUGAAAGAGCAUAAAUGAGUGCCUGACUCACCACCUCUGUACACCUCACUUCUUAUUCAUCUCCUCCCUAAACUAGGCACUUCUGUCUUUUUAAUUCCCUCAUCUGGAAGCCUUUCUGUACCUCUAAUCAUUUUUGUUGCCCUUUUUUCUAUUCUUUCCAUAUUUAUGCAUGGGGAAACUGGACAAGUGACCUAAUCUCCACCUCAAGAUCACAGUGAACCAGAUGCACAACCAGCAGCAGGACUUUGAUUUUACAAUUUCCAAGAAGAAAGAACUGGAGAAACAGGGGGGAUACGAAUGAUCAGAGAUACCUACCUGAAUAGGAAGGCUUGCCAGCCACCAAGAGACUCUGAGGAUGGAAUUGGAAUGGAAUUCUAUAAACAAGAUUCCCAGGACAAAGAAAGCCCCAACUCAAUCAGGCUUGAGACCUCAGGACAGAGAUCAGGGACAACAUGGUUGAUCUUAAUGGUCUUGGAGAGGAAUAAGCAUAGGAAAGAAUUACUAAAGUACCUCAGACCUAGAUCACUAAACUCUGCUCCAAUUUCAGGAUCAACUUACAGGUUAAAAAAAAAACCACUCGUUUCUUUGACUUGUAAAACUGAACAAGCUUAAUAUGGAAGUCACUGAAA